rnacentral:misc_RNA from 1 species
GUGCCAACCUUUGUGCUCGUGUUCUUGUAUCAGCAACAGCUUCUCCCGGCGCUCUGCCUUUUUGCUCGUGUUCUUGCAUCAACUGUUGCGUUUUCAAUCAAAGUACAGGAAGUUUUGCGUAUAGCUUUUUCCUAGCGUAGGAAUCAUAGGAUUUUGGGUUGAAGUUGGGGAAGAUGAAGUCGGUGGUGUCUAAUAAGACGCAGAACGAGCACAACCUUUGCCUUCCAGUCUGUAGUGGGCUUUCGUUCUUUGUCUUUCUGUGGAAAUUUUAGAUGCCUUUUUCCAUCUUCUCUUCAAUUCUAUUGCAAAAUUUUAUACUUAUCACAAAAUCAAUCCUCUUUCCAGGACCUAGAGUUGAAAUUGUUUUUCCGAGUGUUGUUGCUGUAGGUUUCUUAGUUGGUUUAGUAAACAAAGUGAAGCAACAAUUAAGGGGAGUUUGUUUGAUGCGUUAAAUGUUUUGAUCUGCCAAUAGUUCUUAUAUAUAUAUUGGGAUGUUUUGGUCAAUUGCAGGCACUUCCUCAUUUUUGGGAUUGAAAUUCCUGCAGAAAAUUUGUUUUCUUUUCCUGGAAUUUUGUUGGAUAUCUAGAACAACUUGUUUAUAAAAUAGUUGCCGACUUCGCGCGAAGCAAAACAACUUGUUGGUUUUUUAUUUGUGGCCAACGACAGGUCGUUAAACUGUGUUUUUAGCGUUUUUGCCCUUAUUCCUUGAGCCCUUGUGUUGCGGGGUCUCCUAGCCGGCGAUGGCUAUUCCCAAGCUUUUAUUGUCUCACCUCCGCCGUUCUCGUCCCCUCUCCUCUCUUAACACUCCCUCUUAUGCCUGUGUUUCUCACCUCCUCACAAAUCUUAGCCCGCUCCUCUCACCUCCUCCUAUUCCCUCUCACAACCCCCACGGACCUUGCUACGCUAACUCAGUCACUUCUUUUCAUUUGUUUAACAAUCGAUCCUUCUCGACUCGUUCAAAUGACGACUCGGAUUUUUUCGCUGACUCAGCUACCUUGUCGACCACCGAGUCAAAGCUUCCAGAAUUUGGAGUUGUUGAGGUUACUGAAAGUGUGGUUAAUGGUAGCAGUGGCGGCGAGGAAUCGAUUCUUCCGGUUCAAGCAUUGAUUUCGUUGCUUGAUGAGUUUCAUGAUCUCACUGGCUUGCCUUGGUGGGUAACUAUUGCUUCAGCCACAGUAGCUAUGAGAGUUUUGUUGUUCCCUUUACUUGUUCUGCAACUUCACAAGUUGAAGAGGAUAUCAGAGUUAUUUCCUAAAUGGUGUAUUUCAACUUUUCUAAAGAUGAGCAGGAAAAUCUACUUGGACAUUUUCAUGACAACAUUGCCGAGAAACACUUUUUACUUUCUAUUUAGUUUCAGAAGUUUAAAUUUUGCCUGCGAUUAAUUUUCCAAAUCAUAUGUAUUUUUCUUAGUGCCUCCUCCAUUUCCACCACCUCUGUCAGGAAGGAGCUUCAGAGAUCAAAUUUCACUCUUUCGGCAGAAAAGACGAGCAAUUGGCUGUCCCUCAUUUUUAUGGUUUCCUGCAUAUUUCUCUGUCCAGGUGCCAUGCUUUAUUUUGUGGAUGACCAGUAUUCGACGAAUGUCUUUGGAACAUCAUCCUGGCUUUGAUUGCGGUGGCACUCUAUGGUUUCAGAAUUUGACUGAAUUUCCUCAUGGUCUUUUAAGCCCCAUCUUUCCGUUACUGAUUGCUAGUUUGCACUACAUUAAUGUUCAGCUUUCUUUUGAGAAAAAAAAAUCUUUUCAGAAAAUAGAUGGACUUUUGGGCUUAUUGGCAAAAUACUACAAGAAGUAUUUGGAUCUUCUGACACUGCCUCUGUUUUUCAUUGGCUACUGCAUUCCACAGGGAAGUCUAGUCUAUUGGGUCACCAAUAGUUCAUUAAGUGUUAUCCAGCAAUUAUCUCUCAAACAUCCUACCAUACGUGCAAAGUUAGGGUUACCAAACAUGGGAUCUCAGACGGCAACAGCUGCAGAGUCUGAAGAUUUGGGUAUAAUAGAAAGAACGUCUUCAGAUUCACCAAGCAAGCAGGGCAAAGUUUCUGUGGAAAAUUUAAGCCCUAAGAAAUUGCUUGCUCUCUCAGUCCAACUCAUGUCUGAUGGGCAUAGAGAAAGAGCAAUACCUUUGUUACAGCUGGCAGUUCAGAAGGACCCUAACUACAUAGAAGCCCUGAUUGUUAUGGGGCAGAUUCUGCUGCAGAAAGAAAUGUAUGCAGAGGCUGCAGAAUAUUUGGGACGUGCCAUUUCCAAGCUAUGUGUUGAUGGCCAUCCAACAGAAGUCAAGUAUGCUGAUCUCCUAAUUCUUGCAUCACAGUGGGCUGGUGUUGCCUGUAUUCGGCAGGGGAAGAAUGCAGAAGGAAUUGUGCACCUAGAAAGAGUUGCAAGUUUAGAAGAACCAGAGGACCCAAACAGCAAAGUCCAUUACUUUCAGAGUUUGGUAUUUCUUGCAAGUGCUUUAUCAAACGAAGGUCGUAGAGCUGAAGCUGCAAAGUAUCUGCAGUUAGCUGUUGCGUACAAUCCUGCCUAUAAAGAAUUGUUAGAACAAUGUGAGAAUGAAGGCGACGAUUUUGACAGUGAUCUUGCCAACAGCAGGAGAAGAGAUUAUUAACCUCUUGCAAUUUUACACGAUUAACAUUCAUUAUUUUCUUGAGUUGAUUCCAUUUAUCUUUGUACCUUAGAAUAAAACAUCCAUCCAAUCCUCACCAACAUUUUUUUAAGUUAUUUAAUAAUUAAUAUUUCUUAAUUUGUUAAAUAUAAUAACUAAUUUUGCAUAAAAAAAAAAAAUUUCAC